rnacentral:rRNA from 1 species
GAUGAACGCUGGCGGCGUGCCUAAUACAUGCAAGUCGAGCGAACAGACGAGGAUCUUGCUUCUCUGACGUUAGCGGCGGACGGGUGAGUAACACGUGGAUAACCUACCUAUAAGACUGAGAUAACUUCGGGAAACCGGAUCUAACACCGGAUAAUAUGUUGAACCGCAUGGUUCAAUAGUGAAAGACGGUUUUGCUGUCACUUAUAGAUGGAUCCGCGCUGCAUGAGCUAGUUGGUAAGGUAACGGCUUACCAAGGCGACGAUGCGUAGCCGACCUGAGAGGGUGAUCGGCCACACUGGAACUGAGACACGGUCCAGACUCCUACGGGAGGCAGCAGUAGGGAAUCUUCCGCAAUGGGCGAAAGCCUGACGGAGCAACGCCGCGUGAGUGAUGAAGGUCUUCGGAUCGUAAAACUCUGUUAUUAGGGAAGAACAGAUGUGUAAGUAACUGUGCACGUCUUGACGGUACCUAAUCAGAAAGCCACGGCUAACUACGUG